rnacentral:rRNA from 1 species
GACGAACGCUGGCGGCGUGCCUAAUACAUGCAAGUCGAACGGAAAGGCGCGGCUCUUGCUGGUCUCUCGUGUGGCGAACGCGUGUGUAUCACGCGAGGAUACCCUCCCUGACAGUGGGAGAACACUAGGAAACACGGGCGCAUAUCGGAUAUGAGCUUCUGCUGCACGUUGGGGGUAGGUGAGAUUCGGCGGUUGUGGAUGGACUCGCGGCUUAUCAGCUUGUUGGUGGGGUAGUGGCUUACCAAGGCUUUGACGGGUAGCCGGCAUGAGAGGGUGACCGGCCCCAUUGGGACUGAGAUACGGCCCAGAAUCCUACGGGAGGCAGCAGUGGGAAAUAUUGCACAAUAGGCGGAAGCGUGAUGCAACGGCGCCGCGUGCGGAAUGACGGCUUUCGGGUUGUAAACCGCUUUCGACUGUAACGAAGAGUGAGUGACGGUAAUGGGUAAGAAAGCAACGGCUAACUACGUG